GCACGUCUGCCUGGGCGUCACGCAUCGCGUCGGAAAGGGUCGCGGGCAGAGCGGGGGGCGGAAGUUGGCUUCCCGUGCUCCGUCGCGGCCAGCCUAAAAAACGGUUCCCUCGCCGCGGACGUCGCGACAAGUGGUGGUCGUCGAGAUUGAACGCGAGUCGCCGGCAAGC
rnacentral:rRNA from 1 species